rnacentral:tRNA from 1 species
GGGGCUAGGGCUCAGAGGCAGAGUGCUUGCAUGGCAUGCAUGAGGCACUGGGUUCAAUCCUCAGCACCA